rnacentral:rRNA from 1 species
GACGAACGCUGGCGGCGUGCUUAACACAUGCAAGUCGAACGAAGUGGCGAACGGGUGAGUAACGCGUAAUCAACCUGCCCUUCAGAGGGGGACAACAGUGGGAAAAGACUGCUAAUACCGCAUACUGAAGGGGGGGAUUGCGUCGGAUUGGCUAGUGGGAGGGGUAACGGCCCACCAGGGCGAUGAUCAGUGGCCGGUCUUGGAGGAUUAACGGCCACAUUGGGAAUGAGACACGGCCCAGACUCCUACGGGGUGCAGCAGUGGGGAAUUUUCCGCAAUGGACGAAAGUCUGAAGGAGCAACGCCGCGUGAGUGAUGACGGGCUUCGGGUUGUAAGGCUCUGUUAAUCGGGACGCGGUACCGGAAUAGAAAGCCACGGCUAACUACGUGCCAGCAGCCGCGGUAAUUC